rnacentral:lncRNA from 1 species
AAUUUCUACUCUGACCUUGCCUCGGCCUGCUUCUUUGGUGUUAUUCUUCAACAUUGGGGAAGCAAGAACUCGUCACCGGUCAACAGCGGUAACAUAUUGGAGGUCCCAGACCGAGAUUCUACACCGAGACCACCCAUCACUCAAAUGGCCCUCCAGCCUAUUACUUCUCAAUCAGACUUCUAUCAUGGACCACUCGAUAGACCCGAUUUUUAAAGGGGGACUCCAAACUGCUUGCCCCACAUCGUCCCUUUUCAGCCUGAAGAAGCCAGAAAGAUCUUCUUCGCCCCCCUUCCUUACAGCAGUAAGGAGUUCCCAACUUAGAGGGGGGAAUGAAGCCAGAUUUAAAGUUAGGUAGUCAGUGUAGUUAGGUAAAUCGGGUCUAAUA